rnacentral:rRNA from 1 species
CCUGACGACAAUAGCGAGUGGGUACCACCUGAUUCCAUUCCGAACUCAGAAGUGAAACUGCUUAGCGCCGAUGGUAGUGUGGGAGUUCCCAUGUGAGAGUAGGACAUUGUCAGGC